CACAUGAUGGUUACAUUUCACUGCACUGACGUCGGCUGAAGAGCGAGUUCUGCUGAGU
rnacentral:snoRNA from 1 species